rnacentral:rRNA from 1 species
GAUGAACGCUGGCGGCGUGCUUAACACAUGCAAGUCGAACGGAAAGGCCCUGCUUUUGUGGGGUGCUCGAGUGGCGAACGGGUGAGUAACACGUGAGUAACCUGCACUUGACUUUGGGAUAACUUCAGGAAACUGGGGCUAAUACCGGAUAGGAGCUCCUGCUGCAUGGUGGGGAUUGGAAAGUUUCGGCGGUUGGGGAUGGACUCGCGGCUUAUCAGCUUGUUGGUGGGGUAGUGGCUUACCAAGGCUUUGACGGGUAGCCGGCCUGAGAGGGUGACCGGCCACAUGGGUACUGAGAGACGGCCCAGACGGCAACGGGAGGCAGCAGGGGGGAGUAUGGCACAAUAGGCGGGAGCCUGAUGCGGCAGCGCCGCGAGCGGGAUGACGGCCUUCGGGGUGUGAACCGCUUUCGCCUGUGACGAAGCGGGAGUGACGGUAAUGGGUAAAGAAGCACCGGCUAACUACGUG